AAAGGGAAAAAAUCGGCAUUUUGCUACCGACGGGUGCGGAAGAUGGCGCCUUAGAUACGCCACGUCUGCCCUGAUUUAUUCUCACGCGCUGUUUUGGCUUGUGGAAACGAGGCUGACACGUGCGAAGUCGCUUACACGUGUUUGCCAAAGACGAUUUCCCCCCGUCGGCACUUGCCGUGGUGCUGACGUUGGGCCACCUCUUGUUGUGUAGUUUUGACUUCUUCGGCUGAGAACUGAGAAGUGUGGAACUGAAACUGAAACGUUGGGAGGUGAGUUAUGCGUAGGUUUACAUUUUUGCCCUUGAUUCUUUUUAAAAGAAUUGCAAUCAAGUCCUUAAUUAAAUGCAAAUUUGUGGUUUUCUAGAGAGAAAAUUAGUCAAAAAGUAAAAUAGGAAAACGGAAUACGCUUUUAUUCUGAGAAAUGAAUGCUAUUUCUACUUUACAUUGUUAUUUUUCA
rnacentral:lncRNA from 1 species